rnacentral:rRNA from 1 species
GACGAACGCUGGCGGCGUGCUUAACACAUGCAAGUCGAACGAAGAGCGAUGGAAGCUUGCUUCUAUCAAUCUUAGUGGCGAACGGGUGAGUAACGCGUAAUCAACCUGCCCUUCAGAGGGGGACAACAGUUGGAAACGACUGCUAAUACCGCAUACGAUCUAAUCUCGGCAUCGAGGAUAGAUGAAAGGUGGCCUCUACAUGUAAGCUAUCACUGAAGGAGGGGAGUGCGUCUGAUUAGCUAGUUGGAGGGGUAACGGCGCACCAAGGCGAUGAUCAGUAGCCGGUCUGAGAGGAUGAACGGCCACCUUGGGACUGAGACACGGCACAGACGCAUACGGGAGGCAGCAGGGGGGAAUCUUCCGCAAUGGACGAAAGUCUGACGGAGAAACGCCGCGGGAGUGAUGACGGCCUUCGGGUUGGAAAGCUCGGUUAAUCGGGACGAAAGGCCUUCUUGCGAACAGUUAGAAGGAUUGACGGUACCGGAAUAGAAAGCCACGGCUAACUACGUG